UACGUAGGGGGCGAGCGUUGUCCGGAAUUACUGGGCGUAAAGGGUACGUAGGCGGCUAUAUAAGUCAGGUGUGAAAUACCAGUGCUUAACACUGGAAUUGCAUUUGAAACUGUGUAGCUUGAGUGCAGGAGAGGAAAGUGGAAUUCCUAGUGUAGCGGUGAAAUGCGUAGAGAUUAGGAGGAACACCAGUGGCGAAGGCGACUUUCUGGACUGUAACUGACGCUGAGGUACGAAAGCGUGGGUAGCGAACAGGAUUAGAUACCCUGGUAGUCCACGCGGUAAACGAUGAGUGCUAGGUGUAGCGGGUAUCGACCCCUGCUGUGCUGGAGUUAACACAAUAAGUAUCCCACCUGGGGAGUACGGCCGCAAGGUUGAA
rnacentral:rRNA from 1 species